CUUGAAUCUUAUAUGCUUUUUAUUGCUCUGUAAUACAUUCCAUUAUCACAUAUAAAAAGUUCUCAUCAUUUCAUCAAGUUUAUCUAUUUAUUUAUUUAUUUAAAUUCUAUUAUUUUGGUGACUUUGUUUUAACUGAUAUUGUGCAUGCUCUGUUUUCAGGUCCUUUAUUUAUUUAAUUAAUUUUGUUCAUUGCAAGAGAUCCGUUAACCCUUUCAAACCUCUAUAUUUAGGAGGAUAGGUGGAAAUAUGAGAACAUUGGAGGCCAAAAAACAGGCAGAUUAAAGUCCACAUGAUGCUUCAAAUGAGCCUUAGGAAUACACGCUAAUGCUCUAUUCUUGAUGAUGACUUGAUUAUAGAGAAGUUCUCCGCAGCAAUUAGUGCGUCCAUUAUUGGUGUAAUUGGAAUGGAGACAUCACUU